rnacentral:rRNA from 1 species
CCUACGGGUGGCAGCAGUCGAGAAUCAUUCACAAUGGGGGAAACCCUGAUGGUGCGAAGCCGCGUGGGGGAAUGAAGGUCUUCGGAUUGUAAACCCCUGUCAUGUGGGAGCAAAUUAAAAAGAUAGUACCACAAGAGGAAGAGACGGCUAACUCUGUGCCAGCAGCCGCGGUAAUACAGAGGGCUCAAGCGUUGUUCGGAAUUACUGGGCGUAAAGCGGUCGUAGGCGGUAGGUCAAGUCAAGGGUGAAAUCCCCGCGCUCAACGUGGGAACUGCCGUUGAAACUGGCAAACUGGAGUGUGUGAGAGGAUAGUGGAAUUCGAGGUGUAGGAGUGAAAUCCGUAGAUAUCUGGAGGAACAUCAGUGGCGAAGGCGGCUAUCUGGCACAUAACUGACGCUGAGGAACGAAAGCGUGGGUAGCAAACAGGAUUAGAUACCCGUGUAGUC